rnacentral:misc_RNA from 1 species
GAAAUGCGAUAAUUAAUGUGAAUUGCAGAAUUCAGUGAAUCAUCGAGUCUUUGAACGCACAUUGCGCCCCCUGGUAUUCCGGGGGGCAUGCCUGUCCGAGCGUCAUUGCUGCCCUCAAGCACGGCUUGUGUGUUGGGCUUCCGUCCCUGGCAACGGGGACGGGCCCAAAAGGCAGUGGCAGCACCAUGUCUGGUCCUCGAGCGUAUGGGGCUUUGUCACCCGCUCCCGUAGGUCCAGCUGGCAGCUAGCCUCGCAACCAAUAUUUUUAACCAGGUUGACCUCGGAUCAGGUAGGGAUACCCGCUGAACUUAAGC